CCUGGCCUACUCGAGGUUGCCGGGUCCCUAAGCCCCACUGGUUGCCGGUGUUCAGCUUUGGCUCAAAGCCGCAGCCGCCCACGUCUACACCCGCGGGAGCCCUCACGGCGCAGCGUUACUCUAACGUCCCCGCCUCUCCCUGGCUCCGCUCUCUGCUGUCUCGAGUUUUUUUUUUAAUGUAUAUAUGUUUGAAAGGAAAGAAAUGAGCGAGCGCACAUGCACAAAACACACACGCAUACACACACGCUGCAAAAAAAAAAAAAAAAAAAAAACCGGAGGGGAGGCGUUUCUCCAAACGGGUGGCUUCGUUGCAAAACUCCAUAGGCUCUCACCUCUUUUCUGGAUCUGGCCACGUUCCGUCUGGAUGCGCCCAGUCCUGUCCCGCACCUGACCUUUCUGAUCCCUGGAGCAAGGUCAGGGAACAAGGAACAAGGUCCCAGUGCAGGAAGAUUCAUUUGCAGACCUCGUAGGUCCAUGUGGCCUGAGCGGUGCCCGCACCGGUCCUUCCCCCACCCGGCGUGGGUGCCCUCCCUCUGGGCUGUUGGACACGCUAGAAUCACAGUGGGCACAGAGUCACCGUGUCCCAGUGCGCAGCCCCUCCGCGGGGUCACCGAGACCAGAAAAGCGAAACUUGUUGCUUCCGAUGCUGGGGAAAUGAUUCCGCUCCGGGAAGUGUCGCGGAUCUCGAAAAGCACCACCCAAAAGGGUGCCCGAUAUUCUGGGAUGCCCAGAAAGGUCCUGCCCAGGAGACCUAGUCUUCCCAACUGGUGACAGCUACCACAACGACGCAGACGGAGUGGUAAAGAUUGUAGAGAAGUCUCAGACCAGAGGCGCGUCUCAGGACCAAGCAGCUGCGCAGGUCCAGAGGGACCCUGCACCCUCUUUUCGUGGUCACGCAGCAAAGACAUUUACAGAGAGAACAAGCUGUGUUGCACAAGUUAGUUCUGACACCAAAGCCCCGCAAAUUAAAGUUAAUUUAAAAUGUU